rnacentral:rRNA from 1 species
CAGUAGCCACGGGAACACGAAGGGUGCAAGCGUUAAUCGGAAUUACUGGGCGUAAAGCGUGCGUAGGCGGUUUGUUAAGUCUGCUGUGAAAUCCCCGGGCUCAACCUGGGAAUGGCAGUGGAUACUGGCAAGCUAGAGUGUGUCAGAGGAUGGUGGAAUUCCCGGUGUAGCGGUGAAAUGCGUAGAGAUCGGGAGGAACAUCAGUGGCGAAGGCGGCCAUCUGGGACAACACUGACGCUGAGGCACGAAAGCGUGGGGAGCAAACAGGAUUAGAUACCCGGGUAGUCCCUGUCUCUUAUAA